AAAACGACUCUCGGCAACGGAUAUCUCGGCUCUCGCAUCGAUGAAGAACGUAGCGAAAUGCGAUACUUGGUGUGAAUUGCAGAAUCCCGUGAACCAUCGAGUCUUUGAACGCAAGUUGCGCCCCAAGCCUUCUGGCCGAGGGCACGUCUGCCUGGUGUCACAA
rnacentral:rRNA from 1 species